rnacentral:rRNA from 1 species
UACGUAGGGUGCGAGCGUUAAUCGGAAUUACUGGGCGUAAAGCGUGCGCAGGCGGCUUCGCAAGUCAGGCGUGAAAUCCCCGGGCUUAACCUGGGAAUGGCGUCUGAAACUACGGAGCUGGAGUGUGGCAGAGGGAGGUAGAAUUCCACGUGUAGCGGUGAAAUGCGUAGAUAUGUGGAGGAAUACCGAUGGCGAAGGCGAGUCCCUGGACAACUCCUGACACUGAGGCACGAAAGCUAGGGGAGCAAACAGG